AGGUGGUGCAUGGUUGUCGUCAGCUCGUGUCGUGAGAUGUUGGGUUAAGUCCCGCAACGAGCGCAACCCCUAUUGUUAGUUGCCAUCAUUCAGUUGGGCACUCUAGCGAGACUGCCGGUAAUAAACCGGAGGAAGGUGGGGAUGACGUCAAAUCAUCAUGCCCCUUACGACCUGGGCUACACACGUGCUACAAUGGUUGGUACAACGAGUUGCGAGUCGGUGACGGCGAGCUAAUCUCUUAAAGCCAAUCUCAGUUCGGAUUGUAGGCUGCAACUCGCCUACAUGAAGUCGGAAUCGCUAGUAAUCGCGGAUCAGCACGCCGCGGUGAAUACGUUCCCGGGCCUU
rnacentral:rRNA from 1 species